AGGUAGAGGUAGAAAAUCGAAUGUUCGCAGAGGUUACUCAACUGAAAGGUGUUCAUUUAUAAUUGGUCUUAGGCUGUUAUAUUUAAAUGUUAAUUAAAAAUUUAAAUUAUAUAAAUAUAAUAGCAAAGAAAGUUCCGUGAGAGAUGACACCACUGCUGAUGCUAACUAGUAAGACAUACUGGUAUAAACCCAUUAUUAAUAAGCCCGUAAAUCAGGAGAUGGUUGGUAGGCUAGACGGAUCCAACGGCGUUCUAUAAAACAACUGCAACAAAAAUAAUAAUAGCCCAUGGCAUGUUCGAAAUGUAGAGUCGAAAACUGCAUCGUAUUGCCAAACUUCUUCCCCCGUGGCCAAAUCUGUUUCAAUCUUAAAGAAUAUGAACGUAGUAGCAUAUUCCUGUGUCUCCAUUUAUUAUUACCUAUCUAUUAUUCUUCUACAUCAAGAUCUUCUCCAUCGAACGAUCCGUUUCUCCUCAACGUUAGCAUACUCUGCUAAUUAGACUAGAUCUUCCUGAAAGACCAAAUGCUCUGUAAAUAUCUCAAUAAUACUCUGCUCUUAUUGAAUAAAGAUCAAUGACUAUAUGUAGCCAUACAAUUUCAACGGAAACACGUAACGUGAUGCUAAAGUUACGCUAACAACUAAGACCACAAGACUCGGUCUUUAUUUGAACCAAAAAACACAAAACAUGACUUAAUCA
rnacentral:lncRNA from 1 species